UACGUAGGGGGCAAGCGUUGUCCGGAAUCAUUGGGCGUAAAGGGCGUGUAGGCGGCUUGGCAAGUCUGGUGUGAAAUCUUGCGGCUCAACCGCAAGCGGUCACUGGAAACUGCCUCGCUAGAGUCCGGAAGAGGAGAGCGGAAUUCCUGGUGUAGCGGUGGAAUGCGUAGAGAUCGGGAAGAACAUCAGUGGCGAAGGCGGCCUGCUGGGCUGUUGCUGACGCUGAGGCGCGAAAGCGUGGGGAGCAAACAGG
rnacentral:rRNA from 1 species